rnacentral:rRNA from 1 species
GACGAACGCUGGCGGCGUGCCUAAUACAUGCAAGUCGAACGAGAGCGACCGGUGCUUGCACUGGUCAAUCUAGUGGCGAACGGGUGAGUAACACGUGGGUAACCUGCCCAUCAGAGGGGGAUAACAUCCGGAAACGGAUGCUAAAACCGCAUAGGUCUUCGAGCCGCAUGGCUUGAAGAGGAAAAGAGGCGCAAGCUUCUGCUGAUGGAUGGACCCGCGGUGCAUUAGCUAGUUGGUGAGGUAACGGCUCACCAAGGCCGUGAUGCAUAGCCAACCUGAGAGGGUGAUCGGCCACAUUGGGACUGAGACACGGCCCAAACUCCUACGGGAGGCAGCAGUAGGGAAUCUUCCGCAAUGGACGCAAGUCUGACGGAGCAACGCCGCGUGAGUGAAGAAGGUUUUCGGAUCGUAAAACUCUGUUGUUAGAGAAGAACAAGUGCUAGAGUAACUGUUAGCGCCUUGACGGUAUCUAACCAGAAAGCCACGGCUAACUACGUG